UCCCUGGUAGUAUAUCGGUUAGUACACGCGCCUGUCAUACAACGUGCGCGCGAAAGCGGGGUUCGACUCCCCGCCAGGGAG
rnacentral:tRNA from 1 species